AUAUCUAACGUGACCUUUACAACUAUGUUUCUCACAAGUACUCGGAAUGAUGGAGAACUAACUGCACAGAAUUUCUCUGUGGAUUUUGGGGGAGGCGGGACAUGAUUAACAGAUAAGAAUCCCGUUGGUGGCGUAAUUUGCAAUUUGACCAAUCAGUCUCUGCAACCAAAAGCGCAACAAAUGCAACUAGCCAAUGAGGUUAGCCAAAGAUUUGAAACAGAUAAGCAACAGAAAGCAAAGAAGAUUCCCUGGCUCAGACUGCACGAAACCCAGUUGUAAGUCUCUCGUACCAAGUACUCCACACUACGGGGGAUGGUGUCAUUGGAAGCAUGAUUUACAGCAAGCUGCAGAGAGUGGCACACACAGCGAAUAAGAACCAGAUAUUUGAGGCCAUACUCCUCCUUCAGCACUUUAUGGACCCCAUUGUUAAUCCCCGUCAGUCCCUAUCCCCAGGAGUUUCUCUUUUUUAAGACGACACUUCGAGGAAAGCCACAACAGCACGGGCUAUAGAUUUGGCAUCUCCUCCCUCCAACUCAACAAGCCCCAGAAAUGUUGAUACAAUUGUCUGCUUGGUGUCAAAGUACCUUAUCACAACCCCCAGGUACUUAGAAACACACAUCGAGGAGGAGGCUGAAACGCUGGUCACCCACAUCUGCGACCAACUUUUUCAGAAAGUAUGGUGCUAGAACACCAUUAAUCAUUUCUGUGAACUUUGUCCUGUGCAUUUUGAAGUGGGUAGCAGCAGUGGAGUCAGAGAAAGCAGCUCUACAUGCUUCUCCAAUGUGAUCACAUGCCAGCAUGGAACAGUGUUCAGCGAUGGUGGCCUCAGCCUUUUUUUGCAGAGUCUAUUUUUUUUAACCAUAAAUGGCAGCUUGUUUUGGGUGGAACUGUUGUAAGGCUUUGCCUUUUGAGUAUGUUUUUGAGUUGUCAUGUGUUUUUUUACAUCGCUAAGUUUGGCGUAGAAAUCAGCCUUACAAUACAGGCAGUAUGCCCGUGUAUCAUCUCCAAUAAACGGCUUCAACCAGCCUUUGAAUUCAGGGUUUGAUUACCACUCCUUUCUGUAUUUUUGAGUGUACAGUUUAGACUGAGACAUGAUGAGCUAGCCAGCUAGAUGUUUAGCUUAUGUCACAGAUAGGCACACACACAGUGGACAAGUCUGGACGCGGAGGGCGGAACAUCUCCUGCUCUGACUGCAGCUGGGGGGGACUGCUGCGCGAGGACUGGGCCGCAUGUGAGUGCUUUGGGACGGGGCUCACGGCAGCACCCGCUGCUCGUUGAGAAGAGUAAGAACGAUAUGUGCUUUCAUGUUAGUCUCCAAUAACAACAGAAAAAGUCGCUAGAUUUGUUGCUAGUCGAUUGUUUUGAAAAUGUGUCAUUAGAGGGGUCUGAAUACUCUCUAAAUAUAGCGACUGAGUUGCUAAUUUGGCAUCACUGAGUCUAUCAGCUCUGUUCAGAUAAAAUGCACGUGUUGCACCGACCGAACUGCAGCUAAAAACUGUCUAAUAGCUCUAAACUUGAGUGAAACACACGUAGCACAGACCAACUGCUGCUAACAGCUCGCUUUUCAGAGUAAAACACAUGUUG
rnacentral:lncRNA from 1 species